CAACGGCAUAAGUCUUCUUUCCUUGUGUUUACAUGGAGUAGUUUAGACAACCAUCUAAACUUGUUAGGUUGAAAAUGGGUAGAGGUCAAAUCUAUACUAAAACUUGAGACACAUAAAACUAACAGUGACUCGAUCUUUCUUGGUUGAGUGAUGCUUAGCUAAUUAUUAGCACCUUCUGUGAUUGUGAAUGAGGUAGUUGAACACGGAGGGUGUCUCUGAGGAUCGGGUGAACAUUGAUUCAACCCAGUUUUUUAUCCACUCAUAUUUUAAUCAUUAAAUCUCUCUGCAUGUUCACAAAAGAUUAAUCGAUUUCUGUAUCUAGAAAUCAUAUGUAUUAAUCCUUUAAUUUAAAGCUAGAUUCGUCUUUCUUUCGAUGAUUUGAUCUUAUUUUACUUAGUUUUGCUCUGCAAAUCAGGAUAAAGUUGUAGCCAACUCGGUGCUUUUAAUCCAUCAAAUUUUUGUCUUUCCGAUCAAUCAUUGUCCAAUUUUUCUAAAACUCGUCCUACCUUUUCUUUCGUAUUAUUUAUUCUGGUUUUCAAUCUAGAAAUUUAAGGACUUUUUCCAAGUUCUGUUCCUUUGCCCUAAUUGUAAUUUCAGUUUUCUUUCUUCUCAAUUCAUAAAUUCCCUGAUUUUAUGUCUCUUUAGAUUUUUUUUCUUCUUUUCAGUUUAUUUUCUCUAGGAUUUUUUCUCUAUAAUCCCCUUUUUUUUCUUCUGUUGAUUCCUGUUCUCGCCUGCCUCCUCUCUACUUUUAUAUCCUGGUUCUUUUGUUUCUAUCUUUUCUUUGUUUCCUAUAUGAAAAUCUUACUAGCUAACGUGAUAUUAGUGUUGUGUUUUCUUUCCUCAGGAUUCAGGGGAAAGGUCUCGGUGGAGGCCAAAACUGGUCAUUGACUCGCUUUAGAGAAGUAUUUUGGAGUUGGUCCUAUUUAAACCGCUCCUAAGUCAUGGCGGCGCAGUUGUUGCAAUCCCAAGUAAGGAACCUUUUAUUUUACAAGAAGAAAACUACCCAAAUGCAAAGGUCGGAGUAAUCCUAGGCAUAUCAAUCAUUCAUAUUAUCAGUCUAGGAUCUUUGUUGGUGUUAAGGCUUAAGAAAAGGGGAAAUUUAUCUUAUUUACAGUCCUUUGGUUUCAUGAAACUCAAGUUUGUUAUUUUAAGUGAUGGUUCAAAUGACUAUUUUCAUCGGCCUAAGGGAAGUAAGAAAAUGAAAUUGGGUAUGGAUAGUGUUUUAUAUAAGAAAGAUUGUGCAAAUGUUAACUCUGUGUCAAUAAAUUUUAGUUGUUCGAUUUUGAUUCCAAGAGAUAAACUGAAAGAUGGUUUAAGGAGUAAGGAUCCAUCAGAUGAUGUAUUUAACACAGUCAGAAAAGAUAUCCUUACAGUUUAUUCUGUUAGUGAUAACAGAAAAAUUGAAAGGAAGAGAAAGAGUCAGUCGAUUUUGUUUUGGCUCUUAAUCAAGGUUACGGGUUUGGAUAGAAAGAAUGACAAAAUGAAAUUGGGUUUGGAUAGUGAGUUAAAUAAGAAAGAUUGUGCAAAUGUUAGCUGUGUGUCAAUAAAUUAUAGUAGAUCGUUUCUUAUAUCAAGAGAUAAAUUGAAAGAUUAUUUAAGAAAUAAGAUUCCAGUAUAUGAUAUGUUAAAGGCAGUUAAUAAAUACAUUUUUAAGAUUAUUUAUGCUAGUGAUAAUAGAAAAAUUGAAAGAAAGAAAAAGAAUCAGUCUGUCGUGGUUUGGCUCUUGAACAAGUUUGUGGGUUUGGAUAGAAAAAUGAUAUUGUAAUCACGUAUAUUCAUAAAAAUAAAGAACACACCGGUGAGGCUAAGGCUGAGCAUCAAGGAAAUGCACCUAAUAUCUUGGAUCCUUAUAAGGAGGAACAUGAUGGUGUUCCAGUGCUGAAGAAGCCGAGUCCAGAGCCUGUAGAGAAGCAACAAAAUGGGUCCAAGAUCGUGGAGAUGAAAGAUUAGUCUUUCUCAAUGACAACCAAAAUGUUGUCAACAGCAUAAGGAAGAACAGUUUUGCGGUCAAUUGGAUAUCGAAAGCUAUUCUGUUUCAAUCUUUAGAUUUCAAAAAGUUUCUUGCUAGUUCUUAUUUCUUAUAUAUUCGGAGAUCCUGUAAUAGUUUAGCAGACAAUUUAGCUAAGUUCCUUAAUAGAUAUGCGGAUGUGCAUAUAGACCCUAGAUGUUGGGAUAAAUCUAGAAAGGAAGGUUGGUUAAGUAUUCUAUGUAAUCAAAACAAUGUAAGGUCUUUCCUCUAGUUCUAUAUUAUUUUCUUUUAUCAAAAAAAAAAAA